AGAGUUUGAUCCUGGCUCAGAACGUACGCUGGCGGCACGCCUAACACAUGCAAGUCGAACGAAGUAGCAAUACUUAGUGGCAGACGGGUGAGUAACAUGUAGGUAUCUGCCCUUUGGCCUGGAAUAACACGAGGAAACUUGUGCUAAUACCGGAUAAGUCUUUACGGAGAAAGCUUUAUGCACCAUUGGAUGAGCCUGCACUUGAUUAGUUUGUUGGUGGGGUAAUGGCCUACCAAGACUGUGAUCAAUAGCUGAUUUGAGAGGAUGAUCAGCCACAUUGGGACUGAGACACGGCCCAAACUCCUACGGGAGGCAGCAGUGGGGAAUCUUGCACAAUGGAGGAAACUCUGAUGCAGCGAUGCCGCGUGAGUGAAGAAGGCCUUUGGGUUGUAAAGCUCUUUCGUCGGGGAAGAAAAUGACUGUACCCGAAUAAGAAGGUCCGGCUAACUUCGUGCCAGCAGCCGCGGUAAUACGAAGGGACCUAGCGUAGUUCGGAAUUACUGGGCUUAAAGAGUUCGUAGGUGGUUGAAAAAGUUAGUGGUGAAAUCCCAGAGCUUAACUCUGGAACUGCCAUUAAAACUUUUCAGCUAGAGUAUGAUAGAGGAAAGCAGAAUUUCUAGUGUAGAGGUGAAAUUCGUAGAUAUUAGAAAGAAUACCAAUUGCGAAGGCAGCUUUCUGGAUCAUUACUGACACUGAGGAACGAAAGCAUGGGUAGCGAAGAGGAUUAGAUACCCUCGUAGUCCAUGCCGUAAACGAUGUGUGUUAGACGUUGGAAAUUUAUUUUCAGUGUCGCAGGGAAACCGAUAAACACACCGCCUGGGGAGUACGACCGCAAGGUUAAAACUCAAAUGAAUUGACGGGGACCCGCACAAGUAGUGGAGCAUGUGGUUUAAUUCGAAGAUACGCGCAGAACCUUACCAACACUUGACAUGUUCGUCGCGACUCUAAGAGAUUAGAGUUUUCGGUUCGGCCGGACGAAACACAGGUGCUGCAUGGCUGUCGUCAGCUCGUGUCGUGAGAUGUUGGGUUAAGUCCCGCAACGAGCGCAACCCUCACUUUUAGUUGCCAUCAUUAAGUUGGGCACUCUGAAAGAACUGCCAGUGAUAAGCUGGAGGAAGGUGGGGAUGACGUCAAGUCCUCAUGGCCCUUACGUGUUGGGCUACACACGUGCUACAAUGGCAUCUACAACAGGAAGCAAAACGGCAACGUUAAGCAAAUCCCGAAAAGAUGCCUCAGUUCGGAUUGCACUCUGCAACUCGAGUGCAUGAAGCUGGAAUUACUAGUAAUCGUGGAUCAGCGUGCCACGGUGAAUGCGUUCCCGGGUCUUGUACACACCGCCCGUCACACCAUGGGAGUUGGUUCUACCUUAAGGCAAGGUUUUAAACCCUUGACCACGGUAUAGUCAGCGACUGGGGUGAAGUCGUAACAAGGUAACC
rnacentral:rRNA from 2 species